rnacentral:lncRNA from 1 species
UCUCAACCUCCGCCACACCUCCACCUCGCGGGGGUCCUUGCAGAUGGAGCUUGAAGGUACCCCCACCCUCUACACCAUAAAUUCCUUGUGAACUUGUGUAAAUUCCUUGUGUUCAGCUUAUCCUUUAGAUGAGACCCCAGAUGUUCUCGGAGUGUGAGGGGGCUUGUUGGCCAACUUUAAUGUACUUUGGUCGGCCUGUUUAGUUGGGGGAAAUUCCAAUGUCAUUAUCUUGGGAUCUUUCUUUUAAGCCUGAUCAGACCCAGCUAGAGAUGACCCUCCACUUUCCUGCCUAUAGGGUGCAUAUCUGGUUGUAAACGACUGGGAGCUGAAUGGCAGAAGAGGACUCAGCAUCAAAUAUGCACUUUACCCCGUGCAGAGGCCCCAAAAACGUGGCCUUUGACAAGAAGGAGGAACAUGAGGGAUCUGGAAGCAAGAGGUAGGUAGAGGACCCAGGGAUUUGACUUCAAAAACAAACAUGGGAGGUGGUACCAAAAAGACUAAAACAAAGGAGGGUGGGAGGGAACAACCCAUAGAGGAAACAGAAACCAUUUAGUGAGAAGAAAACUUUAAAAUAUAUAUAUUCUGUAUACAUUGUCUAUAUACAUUGUACAUAGAAUAUAUAUAAUCAAUAUCUUGAGAUGUGAGGUACCACUGCAACCAUAAAACAAUAAAUAACAGAAUACUAUUUUUAAAAGAGUAUUUAGAGGGGCGCCUGGGUGGCUUAGCCGGUUGAGUGUUGGACUCGAUCUCGGCACAGGUCAUGAGCUCACCAUUCAUGAGUCUGAGCCCCAGCUGGGGCUCAGCACAGAGCCUGCUUGGGAUUAUCCCCUUCUCUCUCUGCCCCUCACCUGCUCACUUGCUCUCGUUCUCUCUCUCUCAAAAGAAAUAAACCUUAAAAUAAAUAAAUAAAAAGAGUAUUCAGAGACAAAUAUGAUUGCAGAAAUGGAAAGUUCAAUAAAAGAGUUGGAAGAUAAAUGUUGGGAAAUAUCGGGGGGGUGGGAAGCAAAAAGACAAAGAAAUGAAAAAUAAGAAAGAAAGAAAAAAAAAGAAAUUAGAGGACCACUGCAGGAGAUCCAAAAUCUGAAAAAUAAGAGUUCCGAAAGAAAAACCAAUCACUCCUUAGGGAAGGAAUGAUCAUCACCAAAAAAUUCAAGACAAUGUCUCCAAACUAAAAGUCACGAGUUUCCAGAUUAAAAGGGCCCACUGAGUGCCCAGCACAAUGGAUAAAAGAUGACUCAUCCCAAAUCAUCAUUGUGAAAUUGUAGGACAUGGGGGUGGGGGGGAACAGACAAUCCUAAGCUUCUAGAGAGAAAAACAGAUCACUUAACAAAGAGUCAAGAGUGAACAUAACUUUCAAUUUCUCAACAGUCACAAAGAAAGCUAGAAGACAUAGGAGCAAAUUCUUUUUUUUUUUUUAAUGUUUAUUCAUUUUUUUAAAUUUUUUUUAACGUUUUUUAUUUAUUUUUGAGACAGAGAGAGACAGAGCAUGAACGGGGGAGGGGCAGAGAGAGAGGGAGACACAGAAUCGGAAGCAGGCUCCAGGCUCUGAGCCAUCAGCCCAGAGCCCGACGCGGGGCUCGAACUCACGGACCGCGAGAUCGUGACCUGAGCUGAAGUCGGACGCUUAACCGACUGAGCCACCCAGGCGCCCCAAUGUUUAUUCAUUUUUGAGAGAGAGCGUGAGCGAGGGAGGAGCAGAGAGACAGGGGGCAGAGGAUCCAAAGCGGGCUCUGCGCUGACAGCAGCCAGCCUGAUUCAGGGCUUGAACUUAAUAAACCGUGAGAUCAUGACCUGAGCCGAAGUCUGACACUUAACCAACUGAGCCAACCGACUGAGCCACCCAGGUACCCCAUAGGAGCAAAUUCUAUCAAAUUUCAAAAGGAGAUUUAUUUCAAACUAGUAUUCUACACCUGAUGAGUCAAAUACCAAUCAAGUGUGGGUAAACAAUAAAGGUAUGUCCAAACAUUCAAAGAUCUCAAAAAAUUUCCCUUUCAUUUACUUUUCCUUCCUCAGGAUGCUUCUGGAGGUUGUGCUCUACUAAAAUGAGGGACUAAACAAAGAAAAAAAGAAGAUACAGGAUAUAGGAAACAGAAGAUAUAAUGCAGGAGAAAAAUGAUUUGAGAGGCCCUGACAACAAUUCUUCACCAGACAUGGAUUGGUACAGGUCCAGAAGGCCCAGAAGAGAUUCCAUUUUCAGAUGAAACUGAUAGAACACCUCGUCUAUCUAAGUCUUGGGAAGCAGAGAUUGAAACAAUCGUUAAAAAGUUUGGGCUUGGCUUGGUGAUGGAUAGUAAACCAAAAUAAGAUAAUAACUGCAGGAAAAACAAAAAGCUGAGCAGGAGAAGAAAAGUGAUCAUAGUA